rnacentral:rRNA from 1 species
UACGAAGGGAGCUAGCGUUGUUCGGAAUCACUGGGCGUAAAGCGCGCGUAGGCGGCUUUGCAAGUCAGGGGUGAAAUCCUGAGGCUUAACCUCAGAACUGCCUUUGAAACUGCAAAGCUGGAGACUCGGAGGGGAUAGCGGAAUUCCUAAUGUAGCGGUGAAAUGCGUAGAUAUUAGGAGGAACACCGGUGGCGAAGGCGGCUAUCUGGACGAGUACUGACGCUGAGGCGCGAAAGCGUGGGGAUCAAACAGG